ACUAUUUUGGCAGAAAAGUGUGAUGAUUUUAGAAUUCAUUAAUGUAUAAUAAUUUAUUUAUAUAGGUAGUA
rnacentral:tRNA from 1 species